CCCUUAGAUGUUCUGGGCCGCACGCGCGCUACACUGACGAUGGCAACGAGUUUUUCCGUCGCCGAAAGGUGUGGGUAAUCUUUUGAAACAUCGUCGUGCUGGGGAUAGAUCAUUGCAAUUUUUGAUCUUGAACGAGGAAUUCCUAGUAAGCGCGAGUCAUCAGCUCGCGUUGAUUACGUCCCUGCCCUUUGUACACACCGCCCGUCGCUACUACCGAUUGAAUGGUUUAGUGAGGACUCCUGAUUGGCGCCGCCGCCCCGGCAACGGAGCAGCGGACUGCCGAAAAGUUGUUCAAACUUGAUCAUUUAGAGGAAGUAAAAGUCGUAACA
rnacentral:rRNA from 1 species